AGCAGCCGCGGUAAUUCCAGCUCCAAUAGCGUAUAUUAAAGUUGUUGCAGUUAAAAAGCUCGUAGUUGAAUUUCGGGAUCGAAUUGUUGGUCGUGCUUCGGUACGUACUGGCAUUAUUGGUUCCUACCUUCUGAAGAACCGCGAUGUCAUUAAUUUGGUGUCGUGGGGAAUCAGGACUGUUACUUUGAAAAAUUAGAGUGUUUAAAGCAGGCUUACGCUUGAAUACAUUAGCAUGGAAUAAUGAAAUAGGACGUUUGAUUCUAUUUUGUUGGUUUCUAGGAUCGACGUAAUGAUUAAUAGGGAUAGUUGGGGGCAUUAGUAUUCAAUUGUCAGAGGUGAAAUUCUUGGAUUUAUUGAAGACUAACUACUGCGAAAGCAUUUGCCAAGGAUGUUUUCAUUAAUCAAGAACGAAAGUUAGGGGAUCGAAGACGACUCAGACUACCGUCGUAGUUACCUUAACCAACUAAACUAUCGCCGACGUAGGGAGUCGGAUGAUUAGUUUUAAAUUUUUAAUGACUCU
rnacentral:rRNA from 1 species